ACUGUAUUUCGCUACGCUACUUGUUUUGGAACAUCAAUGAACAUCACUAACCACUCGUGGAACUUGCAGAACGACACAGACACAGGAUGGAGGAGAGAGGAGGAGAGCGAGCAGAUCAGCCAACUGACCCUACCACACUGUGGCCUUAUCUUCAGAGAUAUAUGAGACUUCUGGAAUCCUCAGAUAAAAAGGAGGGCAGAAUGUUGGCGUCUCCGACAGAGAUGCAGAGCUGGAGGAUGGUGCAUGUGGAUUUUGAGGACAUACGUUCAAAGGAUUUACCGUCGUGGAUGCAACAUGGCUCUGGGGCAGCAUGUUCAGUGUUGCUAGCAGAUGAGCUGAGCUUGACAGGGGCAGCUUGUGUGGAGGGUGAAGGUGCCUGUUUUUUAAUGAGCCACUUAUGCAUUUUUUAAUA